UACGUAGGGUGCAAGCGUUAAUCGGAAUUACUGGGCGUAAAGCGUGCGCAGGCGGUUCUAUAAGACAGAUGUGAAAUCCCCGGGCUCAACCCGGGAACUGCGUCCGAUACUGGAAGGCUUGAAUCCGGGAGAGGGAUGUGGAAUUCCAGGUGUAGCGGUGAAAUGCGUAGAUAUCUGGAGGAACACCGGUGGCGAAGGCGACAUCCUGGACCGGUAUUGACGCUGAGGCGCGAAAGCCAGGGGAGCAAACGGG
rnacentral:rRNA from 1 species